rnacentral:lncRNA from 1 species
ACAGCCGGGCCCUGGGCCAACAGCUCCCUGAGCCUCCCAGGGCACCUCAGCUCCGGCCUCAGGCUCAGCUGCGAGGCCUGGAACGUGCACGGGACGCGGAGCGGCGCCGUCCUGCUGCUGCCAGGGAAGCCAGAGCCCAGGGGAGGAUUCGCACUGGGGGCCGUGGUGGGGGCCGGUGUCGCUGCCCUGCUGUCUCUCUGCUCCUUCCUGGUCUUGCUCAGGGUGAAGACCUGCAGGAAGGACGCACCCUCUGCCCUGGGUCCCCUCUCCCAGGGCGACAGAAAGGAGCCGCCUGGGGCCACCGCCACCUCGGAGGAGGAGCAGGAGCUCCAUUACGCCUCACUCAGCUUCCAUGGGCUGAGGCCCCGGAGGUCUCAGGAGCAGGAGGCCACCAGCUUCACCGAGUACUCAGAGAUCAAGACCCACGAGUGACAACCUGCGACCUCCAGUAGAGCCAGGGCGUCCCUGGGGAGGGAGAUGUCAGGGACAGUUCCCGAGUGACAGUUCUCCGUGUAAACAGGAGACCUGGUAGCCCGGGUGGUCUCACAGUGUCGUGAGGGCAGCACUGGGCUCGUAGGUCAGCCCCAGCCCCCAUCGGGAGCCUGAGUUUGAAGACUACAUUGUCAGGGAUCCUCUCUCUAGUUUGUUCUCUAAAUGCGCAGAGCAGGAGACACCAGGGUGAGGGGGCACAGUGUGCUCUGGAGCAAGAAGCCACUCUCCAGGUGGCCUUGUAGCCACUGCUGUUUAGCGCGGAUGAUCCUUCUCCUCCUUCGGGAGAGAGACAGGGAGAGGACGCAGUCUGAGUGGCUCCCAUUUUCACAUUAAAAAAAAAAAAAGCACCUGAGUUUGAGCAAGUUAUUUUAUUUUAUUAUUAUUUUUUAGACAGAGUCUCACUCUCUUGCCCCAGCUAGAGUGCCGUGGCGUCAGCCUAGCUCACAGCAACCUCAAACUCCUGGGCUCAAGCGAUC